AGAGUUUGAUCAUGGCUCAGAAUCAACGCUGGCGGCGUGCCUAACACAUGCAAGUCGAACGAGAAAGUGGGGGCAACUCCAUGAGUAAAGUGGCAGACGGGUGAGUAACACGUGAACAACCUACCCUCGAGUGGGGAAUAACACCGCGAAAGCGGUGCUAAUACCGCAUAAUAUCUUUGGUUCGCAUGAUCUGAAGAUCAAAAGCGCAAGUUGCUUGAGGAGGGGUUCGCGCCUGAUUAGCUAGUUGGUGAGGUAACGGCCCACCAAGGCAACGAUCAGUAGCCGGCCUGAGAGGGCGAACGGCCACACUGGAACUGAGACACGGUCCAGACUCCUACGGGAGGCAGCAGUGGGGAAUUUUGCGCAAUGAGCGAAAGCCUGACGCAGCAACGCCGCGUGGAGGAUGAAGUCUU
rnacentral:rRNA from 1 species